rnacentral:rRNA from 1 species
UAGCGGAGGAAAAGAAACCAACAGGGAUUGCCUUAGUAGCGGCGAGUGAAGCGGCAAAAGCUCAAAUUUGAAAUCUGGCUCUUUCAGAGUCCGAGUUGUAAUUUGAAGAAGGUAUCUUUGGGUCUGGCUCUUGUCUAUGUUUCUUGGAACAGAACGUCACAGAGGGUGAGAAUCCCGUGCGAUGAGAUGAUCCAGGCCUAUGUAAAGUUCCUUCGAAGAGUCGAGUUGUUUGGGAAUGCAGCUCUAAGUGGGUGGUAAAUUCCAUCUAAAGCUAAAUAUUGGCGAGAGACCGAUAGCGAACAAGUACAGUGAUGGAAAGAUGAAAAGAACUUUGAAAAGAGAGUGAAAAAGUACGUGAAAUUGUUGAAAGGGAAGGGCUUGAGAUCAGACUUGGUAUUUUGUAUGUUACUUCUUCGGGGGUGGCCUCUACAGUUUAUCGGGCCAGCAUCAGUUUGGGCGGUAGGAGAAUUGCGUUGGAAUGUGGCACGGCUUCGGUUGUGUGUUAUAGCCUUCGUCGAUACUGCCAGCCUAGACUGAGGACUGCGGUUUAUACCUAGGAUGUUGGCAUAAUGAUCUUAAGUCGCCCGUCUUGA